UAUAUCAUAAAAAAUUAAUGUUUUAAUUAUAAGAUAAUCUUAAUAAUUACACUAGAAAUUAUUUUAUUAAUUUUUAAAUUAAAAUUAGAAUAUAAACUUAAAUUGUGAAUCGCACAUUUAUUAAACGAUUGGACUUACGGAAAUAUAUGUAUUGAUGGUAAGAAUAAAGCGAGAAUACCCAUACAAGAAAUUCAGCAUUGUAUUGCUAAACUAGAAAAAUUGUACAAUGAAUGGAGACAAAUACAAAAAAAUUCAAAUAAAAGAACUGAAUCGCAAAUUAUGAAGGAAGAAUUAUUUAUGUCAAAGUCAGACGAUUUAUUUGACAUUACUCACGCCAAUGCAUUAAACAUGAUAAAAAUCUAGGAAGAUCGAGAUUUUUUACUUUUACAGAGUGAAAAAGAGCGAAGGGCCACAUGAUGGGUGUGGAUACAAAUUUGUUUCAAGCUGAAAAGAAAAAAGCUUCAAAAUGAAAAAAACCCCAUGAAGCUUUAAAGCGUUCGAAAAUUGAAGAAGAAAAAUUAAUUGAAACACUUUCAGAUGUGUCAGUAAGUUUGGAGGACUUGAACAAUGAAAACUUAAUUUUAGAACAUCAACCAGAUCCUUCUGUUACAAAUAAAGGAUGUAGGAUGACGGUUCUUCUAUUGUCCAGAAUUAACGCAACAAAUUAUCAACAGAUGGGCUAAGAGCCACGCCUGAGGCGAGGUUUCAGUGAGCAAGACCGUACCUACUUCCAUCCUGCUUAGAUGGGUGUCAAGCGCAGAGGGUAGACUUUUCAUGUGUAUGAUCUUCGUCUUUAGACUUACAGUACGUGGAAAGACAUCUUCAUCUAACAUUAUCAAUCGUACCGGACGUGUCAAAGUGGGGAUCGACAAACAAUAAGUCGUGAUAUUGCUCACGUACCUUCGGUGGUAAACGCUCGGAUGGCAUGAGAUGUGUUAUUCUUGAUAAAACAAUCAAGUUAUUACUCGUAAACACUGGUUCUAAUGCGUAGUGUGGUAUAAACGUGCAUUUGGAACUGCCCUUUAUUUGGCUUACACGGUUUUGCGCCAAGCCGAUUAUCUCGGAGAGGUAUUUACGACGCGGUAAGCUAAGACGUGAUAAAAAAUCUGACGUAAUCGCUGAUAUUUGGGACCCACUGUCCAUUAUAACACAUGCAAACGUUGGUAAGAGUAGGUGUUAUCGAAAAUACGCACGUCAGCAAUACCUAAUAUUACGGAACUCUGUGCAUAUGAAGUACCUGAAAAUGUCGGUGGCGUAUUAUCUGUUUGAUCACCACUUGGCGCACGUUGAUCCACGUGCAAAAUAAUGUGGUGCUUUUUUUUGCACCUUUUACACGCCGACUUUAAAGUGCAUGACGAUGCAUCAUGGUUUGAGACCCAACCCAACAUAAUUUGUGCGCAGAAAUAUGUUAACGCAUUUUUUGAACAGAAAUUUUUUGAAAGGUAUAGCAACGAUAAAGGGGAUGUACACCUUUUUGACAAUAAGAACACUGAAUUUUAUUUUGGACAGAAGGCUCUAAAUUGUUAGACGCGACGAUGGUUAAUGAAUGUUUCGAGAACUUCGAAUUUUUCUGUAUCGAACGCGACGCUGCUAGAAUUGAUCCUUUAAGAUUUUACAAAAUUUUACAACGUUGCUGAUCAAACUUCAGCAAGUCAUCCAUAGUAGGAAUAAUCGAUUGGGAUAUACUGUUUUUAAAUAGGUGUCUCGUCGUGUUAUCGAGUACACGAGAAGCAAUAUUAAAAACUAGACAGGUCGUCUACGUUUAAAAUUUUGAUUGCCCCGACAUUUUCUUUAAACACAUUCAGAAAAAGUUGCAAAGACAAAAGUGAUUCGGGAUCUCAAUAAUCCACUUAAGGGGUCUAUCCCGUAAAGUGCGUGAUUCGAAAAGAGCCUUUUCUUCCAAAUUUACUUUAACGGGGCCGUGAUUAGAACAAAUAAAUAUCCACACUCGAAGGACCAAUUCAUGAACGCAACGUCUGGUGGUAUUCUCGCGGGUUCGUUAACAUUCGUGGUUUUAUUUUGUCUUAAGUCUUUGGCUAUGUCGAGGAUAAGGAAUAAGGCGAGUGGACUGUAUGAAUGAAUGUAGAAUGAAUUUUACAAUAUAUAAUUAUAACAAUUAAAUGUAUUAUACAUGAACCAUAAAAUCUUAUUACACCAAUGUGGAUAGGGGGACACUUAAUACUAAGGCCACCAUGGCGCUGAUAUAAACAAAUAAUAAAUUAUAAACGUGAGUAAGUAUUAGAAAGAAGAUGAACAAGCAUUAUACUUAUCGGCUGAUAAUAAUGUUGAAUAUUGAAAGGAUCAAUUGAAAUCGACUGAAAUUAGCUGAGCUACGUGUACAAUAUGCUGUGAACGGUACUGUGAUGUAUCUCAGAAAAUAUAUAGACCUAACUGCGAUGUAUUGAGCGCACGAGGGUGUGACAAUCGCAAAUGUGAUAUUUUAUUUUGACAACAAAAGGAACACAAAACUACUGGCUCGCAAUCGCCAUAGAGCUUAUAGGUAAAAAAACGCAAAGAUGGCGGCGGCAAUGCAGACAUAGAGAGAAGACCGACAACAACUCGAUGUAGCACAACGAUAGAAUAAAUAAUCACAACACAACUUCUCGACAGCAUAAUGAUGUGUAUCAAACAACAACAAAAACUAUUGUUCUCUUUUAACUUCGAUCCUAACUUGUAAAUAAUUUCAAUAUAGUUAUAAUGUUAGUAAAGUAUAAAAAAUUGAUUUUUUUUCUAAUGGUAGAAUCAAAUGUAAUUAUUUUUCUUAAAAUACAAAAAAUGUUUUAUUUUAUCAGUUCUAGUAUGACAAAAUUUCAUAAUUUUGUAGCAAAGUUAAAAAAAUAAAAAUGCAGCUAUUGAUGGAAAUUAUUUAAAUUUUCAUAAAACUCAAAACCCAACCAGAAUCUUAAAAAAUAAAUGUUUUCUAACGAUUUGUAAAAUGAUUUCUACUACACUAUUAAUAUUUUUACU